GAUCAGGUGCAGCAGGGAAUGGAUCCAGAGCAGCAAGGGGAUCAGAAGUGGAGUUAGGUACCAGAAAUUAGCAGAGCUGGCUGCUGUCGAAUCAAACCUAUCCUCCUUGAGUUCUGCCUUUCUGGGGGAUUUGUGCACUGUACUGCCAUCAGCCGAGUGAGAAGUUAAAGGAGAAAAAGUUUGCCCCGUGGUGAUGCAGAAGGGUUUGGAGUUGGUUUGGAAGAAGACCUUGAAACUAGCCUACCUCUCAGGGCUGUUGUGAGGAUGACAUGGGGAAAGGGUCCACGGAGGCUGCCGAGGCUCCUCGGAGGAAGGACUGGCUAUCAAUAGCUGUAUACUUUCCCCUCCUUCUCGGCCCUCCCAUGCGAUCGGAUCCAGAGUGAAAUCCAGGCAGUGCAUUUGAAAUUCCUUCCUCUAUGGUUCUGUAAUCUGGUUUACCUCUCUGGAAGCAAUCGGUGUACUGAACAGCUCUAACAACAGUAGGGCGAGACUGUUUCCUUCACAUGUUUAAGUUGGACGUCGUUUCUAGUAAAAGACUCUCUCUCUUCCACCAAUGCCUUUGAACAAAUCUCAGCCAGGGUGCAAAGCAAGAGGGCCCUAUGACGCCGGAGCCAGUGUUCUCUCUAAGGCAUGCACACGUUUGUGCUCUGACAAGCUUUUUUUAAUGUCUGCUCAGUUCAUUUUAGAGCCUGCUCAGCUUGAAUCAGGAAGCCUCCGCUCUGAAGGCACGUAGGCACACACGGCCUUGAUACAGCAUGAAAAACAUUAGAGUGAACACUGUUAGGAGCCUGUGGUGAGCCCGAAACAUAAACCUGUUGGGCUACUCCAAAAAGCAAGACAUCCCAGAUGCUUUCACAUA